rnacentral:tRNA from 1 species
GGAGUUGUGCCUGAAUCAAAGGGUUACUUUGAUAGAGUAAAACAUGUAGGUGAGAACCCUGCCAGCUCCU